rnacentral:lncRNA from 1 species
UUUUAAAGCAAGUGACACUGUUUACUCCUGAGUUCACUUAAUGAAUGCACUUUAAAUUCAAGACCCAAGCUAAGGUUGUAGAAUUAGAGCAAACAUUAGAGUACACCAAUAUCAUCUAUGGGAGUAAACCUUCUUAAGGGGAGGAGAGAAGGAAAUGGGAAGUGUACAUAAUACUCUAUUUAAAUCCUUGGUUAUCUGGUGUAUUCUGGAAUUGGGGCAGAAGAGAGGCAGCCAGCUUGGUAAGGGCCUUAGCUAUAAUGUCCAAGUGGCCAUUCAUUGUCCUCAGCUCCACAAGAAUGUUCCCCACAUCUGCUUCCAAACUUGGAGUUACAGGAGGUACCUCUUUGGAACCUGAAGGACCCAGGCGAGAGAUUUCUGCCCCUGCCCCUCUCUGGCACCUGGGUAGUUCCCACUAUGGGAAGUAUAUGUUCUCGUUCAUCUCCAUGACCCCCACUUGGAGGUGUUGCUGAGGAUGAGGACGGAGAUGGGAGAUCUGUGGUGGAACGACCAGGUUCUUCAGAAGAUAGAAACAAGGUGGUGGAAGAUGGAGAGUCCAGGCUGCUAUGUUCUGAAUCUGUUAAGAAAUAAACAAGAAAUUUGUUAUUCA